ACUUCAACACAUUUCUUCAGAAAGUCAUUCUAAAGCUAGAUCUUCCACUUGAGACUGAGCUGCACUUGACAGAUGAAUCAGGGACAAAAGUUGAUGCAGAUGUGUUUGAGGAGCUUUUGCAAGCAGGGAACCUUACUGUUAGGGUGACAACUGAGAAGUCAACAGUUGUGCUUCAACAUGAUCUAUCAUUUACUUUGUUGGAGUCACCCAUGUCAGACAACUCACCCGUGUCAGUGUCAGGAGACUCCUUGCUAGUAUCCUCUGAUUCAUCAGAUGCAACAGUGAUUGUUCAGACAAACAGAGGGAAGAGAACCCAUGCUGAACGGGAAUCGGCAAAAGAGGUGUGCAGCUUUUGUAACGAAUGAAAUAAGUUAUCAAAUAUCAGACACAAAGAUAUUAUGCAGUUAAACUGUGGUUUUUUUGUUGGACAUGAUGAUGAUGAUGAUGAUGAUGAUGAUGAUGAUGAUGAUGAUGAUGGAUAUAAUUGCUAACUUUCUGAUUCUUUAUCUUUUGGAUGGUGAGAGAGGCUCUCCAGGCUAAACCAGGUGGACAGAUUAUUUUGGAUGAAUAUGAUAAAAUGACGACAUUGACGGAUAGCACAAGGAGACAGUUGGUAAACCUUCUUGUGGCCGACAUGGUUGAAAUUCAUGGGUAAGACUUCAAUGUUCAUAUUUGUAUUUUACUUAAUAUAGAUUUUUUUUUUUUAAAAAGGGCACACUCAUCUUAGGACAUUGCAUAUUAGUACAGCAAUGUAUUAUUACAUUUCUCCUAUGUCAGAAAUAAAUAUUAAAUGGCUAAAAUAUUUUACAAAAACUAACAAUUUGAGAGAUACUCAAACUCACUGAAGCUAACAACAGUAAAAUUUGUAUCUUUUAAACACUGAAGGAAUUGUAGUAGUAAUGUCAUGUUUAUCUUUCAGGAGGAGCCCACCCGUCUCAGAGAUCCAUACUCGGACAAUGGAUAUGUACGUUUGUAAAUGAAAAGCUUAUAUGUCAGUUUAUGGAGUAGUAAUAUGUGUUGAAUUUACGCUACAAUUUAUUGUUUUUAAUAUUACAGGAACACUUCUAUGACCCACAGAGUGGUUCUGGCUACUUGGCCUGGAGGAUAAAGACUGUUCAGCGCAACACUGCAGCUCAGUCCCAGAGAUCCUCCACCAGCACAAUCUAUCAAGAUAGUCCAGAGACAAAGAGGGAGGUUCUCUGCAUUGAUAAACAGCUGCUUGGUGAGCACUGUCAUGAAGCAGUAUCCUUUUGAAACAUUCAACUGAUGAAUUGGCAAUCAAAGAGAAGAUGAGGGCCACAUUUCAGUAUUGCCAAACACUGGUUCAAGAUCAGCAGUGCUCAUCGACAGUCUUGGAUGUCUUCCCACGAUUCCUUGACAUCACUGGCUUGGUGAGGUAUAGGUAAGGUAUACACUUUUAAGUUACUAAGUUAUGUAUAAAAAUGCAU
rnacentral:lncRNA from 1 species